UAUCUUGACUAUUGAUAAUGGAGUUUUUGAGAUGUAGAGGAAUAAAUGAUUCUGGUUUUGGAGAAGUGAUGAUGAUGAAAAUGGAGGAACAAAUGGUUCUGGUUUUGGAGAAUUGAUGAUGAAGAAAAUGAAGGUGGUCACCACGACGAUGAUAAUAAUGAUUCGUUCUCUUUGUUCUGUGAUAUAUACUAAUAUUAUAGGUUGGGAUAACGUAGUUGAUGUAGAACCAGGGAGAAGAGAGUUUGAAUCUUUCCAUCUAGAGACGCAAUACUUCCAUGAUCAUGCAACUUUCACAGUAGUUGUUGGCCUGAACCAGCAGUGCGAGCAAGUGAAUGCUCCUGAUCCAAUUAUCAACACUUGCAGUGACUUUUACAAAUUCUGGCAGGCAACCCAUGAUUUGCACGAGGCCAUAAAUCUCUGUUAUGCAGCAUCGAUAGCAACUAAUCCUAUGGAAGAUAAUCUUGGUGAUAACUUAGAGUUUCUGUGCUUAUGGAAUGUUAUGACGUACUGAGAUUCUCCAUGGAAAGUGGUGCCAAGGGUUGCAAGGUUCUGUUCAUGUCCUGGUUACUUUGGGGAUUAUACCAUUGUGAGAGGCAUGGUAGUCUCAAUGGUAGAGAAGUGUCUUAGGGCUGUGGUAACAGGCAAGAGGGUUGAAGAAGCAUUUGAAGAGGAUCAAUGCGCUUAAGCAUUGCAUGCUUGGCAAGCUUGGUGGUGCCUUUAUAAGUCCUGCUGGAAUCCUCCGUUGUGCUCAAGGAUGUGUUUUGCUUGACAGAGACGGGGUUCGCAGAAAAGAAAAGCUACACAUUUAUUACAAUUUAUUCUCAAACUCAAAGAAGUAGCUGAAGAUAUUUAGAAGGUUGUUGCUGCCUAUGACCGCAAAAUUGCUUAUGGUGUGCUCAGCCAUCAGCUGAAGCAGUUUGUGGUAGAUGAGAACAAGGUUGUACUCAUUAUUCCAGGUCCCGAUACCAGAUUCAAUGAUGCUGAAUUUCAAGAAAUAUAGCUAGCUUGGACAUGUGUUGUUCUGAACUAAGAAUUUCAUUCUUAUGUGUAAUUUAAACCCAAUGAAUGAAAGAAUGGAAGUUGAAUUCUCAA